CAACCUCCUCCGGCCCGUACCUCUUCGUUGGACUUCUUCUUUUUCCCCACGUAAAGGAACCAGAGGGAGAGCACGAGAGGAGCGUGCUCUGCUCCUCCUCCAUCGAUAGCGACCGCACCCUCCUCCCCUGCGUGAAGCCUCCACUCCUCUGCUUUAUCUCUUCUGGACCACGUCCAUCUCUUUUCUCCUCAUCCUCACGCCUCUCUCGCCUCCCUUCUUUCUUCUACUGCAAGACAAAACCGAGAGAGGGGAAAACACCUGCCACCAUCCUCUUCACCAUGGCGCCGCCGCUCCACUUCGUCCCCCGUCGUUCUGAGGGCACCGGCGGAUGCGCCUCGUCGUCCUCUCCAUCCUCCCCAAACGAAUCGAGCCGGGACUCUCCAAUUCAACGACAAAUUCGCCGAUACCCAACUCUGACCACCGGAGAAAAUGGUCGAUUCCGGCCGCUGGAGGCCUCCCCCGUCCUCUCCGACCUCAUCCACGGCUCUCUGGUGAUGUGCUCGUUCCUCCAGACCUCUUCCCCGUCUCGUUCUCGUCCUCGUUUUUUUCUACCGACGUUGACCACCGGUAAUCUCCGCAGGAGCUCGACGCCGGCGGUACUCCGGCGACCCCCUGGACGCCUCACCACCACCAUCCGGUUCCCCACGUUCUGCCGCACCCCCGACGCGAACUCUCCCGCCUUGGUUCGCCCUGAGUCGCCAGGUCCAUCCUCGCCAGAUCUUGUCCGCCAUGGACGCUCAGUCCCCGAGCUCCGCCACCUCUGGCUCAAGUUGCAACAGGCCUUUCUUUUGCCACGAACUGAUACAUAGCCCAGUGAUCCAGCGGCUACUGGGCCUCAUCCCGUGUCGUCGCCAGCUUGUUCGCCGCCGAGCGUGCGGCAGGCCGCUAUCCGCUGCUCAGCUUUUGCUUCUUCUCGGAUAGGAUCACGAAGUGGUGAUGUGAGAUACGACGAGUUCUCCGACAAGUUCUUCUGCAGCUUUUCACA